CCUACGGGCGGCUGCAGUGGGGGAUAUUGCACAAUGGGGGAAACCCUGAUGCAGCGACGCCGCGUGUGGGAAGACGGUCCUCUGGAUUGUAAACCACUGUCCCCAGGGACGAAGAUGACGGUACCUGGGGCGGAAGCUCCGGCUAACUACGUGCCAGCAGCCGCGGUGAUACGUAGGGGGCAAGCGUUAUACGGAUUUACUGGGUGUAAAGGGAGCGUUGACGGCAGCGCAAGUCUGGAGUGAAAUCCCAGGGCUUAAACAUGGAACUGCUUUGGAAACUGUGCAGCUAGAGUGCAGGAGAGGUAAGCGGAAUUCCUAGUGUAGCGGUGAAAUGCGUAGAUAGUAGGAGGAACACCAGGGGCGAAGGCGGCUUACUGGACUGUAACUGACGUUGAGGCUCGAAAGCGUGGGGAGCAAACAGGAUUAGAUACCCCUGUAGUC
rnacentral:rRNA from 1 species